rnacentral:rRNA from 1 species
CAAUAGCGUAUAUUAAAGUUGUUGCGGUUAAAAGCUCGUAGUUGGAUUUCUGUUGAGGACGACCGGUCCGCCUCUGGGUGAGUAUCUGGCUCGGCCUUGGCAUCUUCUUGGAGAACGUAACUGCACUUGACUGUGUGGUGCGGUAUCCAGGACUUUUACUUUUGAGGAAAUUAGAGUGUUUCAAGCAGGCGUACGCCUUGAAUACAUUAACAUGGAAUAAUAGAAUAGGAAGUCGUUUCUAUUUUGUUGGUUUCGGAAAUCGACUUAAUGAUUAAUAGGGACAGUCGGGGCAUUUGUAUUCAAACGACAGAGGUGAAAUUCUUGGACCGUUUGAAGACAAACUACUGCGAAAGCAUUUGCCAAGAAUGUUUUCAUUAAUCAAGAAC